UUGCAGUGAGCCGAGAUCGCGCCACUGCAGUCCGCAGUCUGGCCUGGGCGACAGAGCGAGACUCCGUCUCAAAAAAAAAAAAAAAAAAAAAAAAAGUCUCAGUUCCUCAUCUUGCCCUGCUGGGGACGUCCCCUAGGUGAGAGAAUGAAACAGACAAGGAGCCCUGGCGGAGUUUUUCCAGAGAGUUGGGAUUUGUGUUAUUUUCGCGUGAAUGAUGAAAGCACUCCCAGGCUUAGCAUGACACAGAGUGUUUCUCUUGGUGCAGGGACACCUUUCUUCAAGUCCCCUCCAGAAGUGGCAGAUUUGUGCACAGUGGAUAUUGACCCUGGGUGAGG
rnacentral:lncRNA from 1 species